GCCUUCGUGGAUCAUGGUGAUCGCCUCGCUUGAAUGGCAAAGGAGUGUGUAGGCCGAGGAGACGGAGGUUCGAUUCCUUCCGAGGGCA